UACGUAGGGGGCGAGCGUUGUCCGGAAUUAUUGGGCGUAAAGGGUGCGUAGGCGGCAUGCAAAGUCACCUGUGAAAAACCUCGGCUUAACCGGGGGCUUGCAGGUGAAACUAGUAUGCUUGAGUGCAGGAGAGGAGAACGGAAUUCCUGGUGUAGCGGUGAAAUGCGUAGAUAUCAGGAGGAACACCAGUGGCGAAGGCGGUUCUCUGGACUGUAACUGACGCUGAGGCACGAAAGCUGGGGGAGCAAACAGG
rnacentral:rRNA from 1 species